ACACGAUAAAGGCAAAACCAUUGAAAAGUGGUGACGCAAAGCUACAGGGGCUUAUCUUUUAAAAGACUGCCAGCCAGCUACCGAA
rfam:Paenibacillus sp. FSL A5-0031 NODE_8_length_339867_cov_1.76689_ID_5133, whole genome shotgun sequence.